CAGAUGGCGGCAGUUACAACCGGCAUAUUCCCAGUUGGUGGCUUUAGCAUUUAGAAAUGAGCAUCUGUUCUUCUUCCCUAUUGCAAAGUGGUUUUAACUCAGAGGUGUUAAAAAUAUCUUUUUGCUAACCUUACCCACGAGAGGAAGAGCAACCUUUGGGUAGGAGUGGAUGAGAACAUCACCAGCGCAUGAGGGUUGGCAGCAUGGCCAUUCCAUGGAACCAGAUGCAUACUCUUCUCCGCUCUUUUUCUAAUGGCAGUGAAUAUAGCUGCAGAGUAUGUGAUGUUUCUCACACCCUAAAACCAUCAGAGGGUCCCCAAAUCACAGCCUGCUCCAUGUGCACAAAAGAAUAUGGUUUCUUUUCAUUGAGAGAACUCCAGUGAGGUGCUUUCCUUGAGGUCAAGUUUAUGUUAUUCCAAGAGUGCAAGUAAAUUUGGAAUUUCCUGACUUUUCUUCUUAAACCCCUUUAAAGGUGAUUUAUCUAUCCAAUUUCAACUCCUUGAAAUCUUACUUGGUCUCCAAAAUUGUGCAAAAAAUUACUAGAUAACAAAAAAGCCUCACAACCCAAAAAACCAGAACAACGUCAUUGGCACAACUGAAUUAGACCUGAAGCAAAAUUAGUAUCUGCAAUGAAUAAUUUUAAGCUGCGAUGAUACCUCAGAAGAGUGUAACAAGCACAUGUGAGAAGGUCACAGCACAUCUUAUUUUUAGGAUCUUGGACCUUAGUGGGAUAACAUGGAAAACCAUGAAGUAUGGGUAAAUCCUUUUUCUCCAGAGUUAGCAGCCUGGGAGAUGCUACCUGUAUUAAUAAACAGAUGGUGUGGUGGGAAGCAAAGAGAACAACAGCAGCGAUGGCAUAUAUUCAGAAUCUAUUCAGAGCUAUGGAUGGUAAAGAAAGCCCCAGGAGAUACCCUAUUGGGUAGAGUGCAGAAAAUGACCAUAAAAACCAUCUGAGUUGACCAAAGAGUGGAUGUGUGUGGGUGUUAUGAGUGCAGUGCCACCAGCCACUGCUAAAGAUUUCACAUCUGUAUUACAUCUUCCAAACAACAGUAUGGCUGGAAAGCAUCUCAAGUUGCAAUCCCCUUCAUUUACCUGAACUGGAAAAGGCAUUAUGGGCAGUAACACAGAUAUCAGCAACUCCAGUUUUUAAAGGACCGCAGGAGGGAUUCAGAUAAAUUACCAUUCUCCUAUGUCUCUAAAUCUCAUUACUGUUUCCACGAGCUUUCAAUUUUUAACUGGAAGCACUUCCACAGACACUUUACUCAAAAAUGUCUUUUUAGAAAAUUAUGAUAAUUGAAUUGUCCACAGAGAAUGUCUGCUUUCAGAUGUUGAUGAUUUCUCCUUAUUCUUUGCUUAUAAGUUAGCUGUGAUUUGUAAGGCUCAUGAAUCAGGAAACCCAUUAAGGGAGCAAUAUAGACUUGGAUAAUUAUGCCUAACAUGGAGCCACCGUGAUGGCAAUGACAGCUGCCAUAUGUUCUGCUUAUCUGGGCAACUUGAAAGCUAAAGGAUGGUGUUGUAAGACAGAGAAGAAAGAGAUACUGUUAUGAUUUCUGCUUGUAGGAAUGAGGAAGAAAAAUUAUUGUUCAUAAGCCGCCAUGCGGAUAUUCAAAAUGCAACAUUUCAGCAGUCAGUGUUCUUAGGUGCCCUUGUCUGACUGUUCUUUGAAAUAUAAUUGGACUCUCUGCAUGCAGUUCCUCCUCAAAGUAUGGAAGCAAGUGUUUAAGCUUGCUUGAGGAUUAAGGAAAAUCUAAGUUUCAGAGGAGGUGGCAUUGUGUGAUGAAGCAGAAAAUUGUUGGAAGUAGAAAUCUAAGUUUUCCUGUCUCUGCCAUUUAACACAAUGUUCAUAGCAAAGUUGUCCAAAAUACUGGAUUACAAAUUGUGUUUAUUCCUACUGAUGUAUCUCUUUUUGUAGUUUGACUUAAUACAUUUUAAAUGUUCAGAUUUGUGCAAAAGCAUGCUGAGGAUUUUUUUAUAUUUAUUUAAGUGGAAAGAAACCUCUCAAGAAGUGUGAGUGUACAGGUUGUGUGUGCCAUUUGUUAUAGUUAGAGCACAUUGACAUCAGCCCUAGUACUGAUGUAGUUAUAAUAGUAAAAAUAAGUAUUUCAUUAGGAUAUAUGUUGUGGUAGUUGAAAUAUGAUAUAGGCUAUACUGAGAGAAACAAUUUUUAUGUCAGUUUAUGGUGUUUUUGUCUAUCGUUUACUACUUCAACUGUGUUAGAGAAAUGUGAAUAUAAAAUUACAUUCUGAGAUUUUGCCCUAACAAUAUUUGCUAAGAGAAGCAAUGAUAAUCCAUAUGCAUCCACAUUUAUUGUUUGAUAUAACAUUAACUCAUUCUUAGUUUUCUGCAGAAAAGGAGCUAACUAAAGACACUCUCAUUAAUGGUGAAGUCCCUAUUAUGACUUCAUGGUUAUCAUCACAACAGCCAAUUUAGAAUCCUCUUUAUUGCUGAGAUUUCAAACAGCCAGGCACAGAUAAACAAAAUUGCUCCUCCAAAUUAGAUAAAUGGAAUUUAAAUUAAUGAAAAUGGGGGGAUAGAGUUCCCUUAUACUGAUGACCUAAUGCUUUUUGUGACUAGGUCUAGGACCAGCCCACACCUGCACUGGCUUUUUCUCUUUGUAAUGUAGGAGUCAAUGUUGAGAAAAACAAGCAGGAUGUAAAAUUAACUCUUUUAUGGAAAAGCUUUUACUUGCACUCCCAGGAACAUAAUAACUUUCUUUUGGAAAUCUCAAAACUCUAAUGAAAAAAUAUUAUUCUCUAUGCAACUCUAUUUCCUUUAUGAAGCCCAAAUGAUGUAUAAAAUUAUCUUGACCCAUUUUCCUUCAAAAUCUGGAAAGUAAAGGAAUGAAGGAGCUCACUUAUGUCUUUGGUCACAUCACUGUGCUAUAAACAUGUUGUUAAAAAUAAUUAAAUAUUGUAAACAGGGACAGACUUCAUGUUAGGAAAAUGUAUAGGGAGUUACAAGACUUGUCACCAUAUAGCUGCGUGAAUUUUCCCAUUCUGAUUGGAAAUAAAAAAAGUCAUCACACACAAGAAUUUUUCUUAUGUAUGUCUUGUUUUCAAUAUGUUUCCUAUUGCAUAUCUUGGGAAACUUGUAUGUAGUUUAGGAUUUUUAGUCUUAAAUGUGUAAAAGUGAAAUCUGCAAGUAAACAGCAUUUUUUGUAGUCCAGGUCAGGGGCCCCCAGCACAAGAAGGAUCCAGAGCUUUGGCAACAAGUCCAGAAGAGGCCAUGAGGAUGAUCAGAGGGCUGGAGUACCUCUUCUAUGAAGACUGAGGCAGCUGGUCUUGUUCAGCCUGGAGAAGAGAAGGCUCUGGGAAGACCUCACUGUGGCCUUGCAGUGCUUAAACAGAGAUUACAGGCAGGAGGAGGUCCAACAUUUUGCAUAACUGAUACUGACGAGAUAAAAGGGAAUGUUUUUUUAAAUGAAACAGGAGUAUUUUAUAUUAGAUAUUAGGAGGAAAUUCUUCACUUGUGAUGAGGUCCUGGCACAGGCUGCCCAGAGAAGCUCUGUGUGUCCCAUCCCUGGAAACAGUCAAGGCCAGGCUGGAUGGGGCCCUGUUCUAACCCGAACUGGGGGGUGGCAAGCAGUCCAUGACAGGGAGUUGGAGCUGGAUGAACUUUAAGGUCCCUUCGAAUUAAAGCCAUUCUAUGAUUCUAUGAGAAAAAAGAAAAAAAAAAAAAAAAGAAUAGUCUAGAGAUCUUUCAAAUAUUAACAAUUUUAAAA
ensembl:lncRNA